CAUAGGCUCUGGUGGAUCAGGUGGUGAUGGUGGAUCCGGUGGAGACGGUGGAUCAGGCGGAGACGGCGGCUCUGGUGGAUCAGGUGGUGAUGGUGGAUCCGGUGGAGACGGUGGAUCAGGCGGAGACGGCGGCUCUGGUGGAUCAGGUGGUGAUGGUGGAUCCGGUGGAGACGGUGGAUCAGGCGGAGACGGCGGCUCUGGUUUAGGAUGUCAUGAUGGAAAUGAUUCAGACGAUAAUGACAAUGGAGGCAAAGGUGGAAAAGGACACGAUUCUGAUUUCUUCGGUCAUCUUUUCGGCGGUAAACAUCAUAAAUCUUCGAAGAAAUGUGAUCCAAGAACAGAACUUCCAUACUGCCCCUGUGAAAAGAAGGCUCCAUGCAUCUGCAACUGCAUAUGUGAAUAAUAAGUUUUAGUUUUUGUCCUAUUUAGUUUAAGUAAUCGAUAGGGAAAUGAUUUAUGAUCGGCUAUUCUGUGUAAUUUUCAAAGUGUUAUUAAUAAAGGCACCGCAAUGAAUUUGCAAAA